UACAGAGGUCUCAAGCGUUGUUCGGAUUCAUUGGGCGUAAAGCGCGUUCAGGCGGUUUGGCAAGUCGGGCAUGAAAUCUCUGGGCUCAACCCGGAGAGGUUGUCCGAUACUGCUAAACUGGAGGGCAGUAGAGGGUGGUGGAAUUCCGGGUGUAGUGGUGAAAUGCGUAGAGAUCCGGAGGAACACCAGUGGCGAAAGCGGCCACCUGGACUGCACCUGACGCUGAAACGCGAAAGCUAGGGGAGCGAACGGG
rnacentral:rRNA from 1 species